GGCUGGUUGGGUGGUAGUGGGUUAUCAGAACUUAUUAACAUUAGUGUCACUAAAGUUGGUCUAUAACCACCCCCCACUGCUAAAUUUGACUGGCUUUGA
rnacentral:Y_RNA from 1 species